rnacentral:misc_RNA from 1 species
GAACGCACCUUGCGCUCCUUGGUAUUCCGAGGAGCAUGCCUGUUUGAGUGUCAUGAAAUUCUCAACCUUUUCAGCUUUCUUUGUUGAUCAGGCUUGGAUGUGGGAGUAUGCGGGCUUCUCAGCAGUCGGCUCUCCUGAAAUGCAUUAGCGGGACCUUUGUUGCCUGGCUUUGGUGUGAUAAUUAUCUACGCCAUUGUAGUCAAGCAGCUUAAAAUGAGGUUUCAGCUUCUAACCGUCUCCCCUGAGACAACUUUUUGACAAUUUGACCUCAAAUCAGGUAGGACUACCCGCUGAACUUAAG